UGCCAGCCGCCGCGGUAAUACGGAGGGGGUUAGCGUUGUUCGGAAUUACUGGGCGUAAAGCGCACGUAGGCGGAUUGGAAAGUUGGGGGUGAAAUCCCGGGGCCCAACCCCGGAACUGCCUCCAAAACUAUCAGUCUAGAGUUCGAGAGAGGUGAGUGGAACUCCGAGUGUAGAGGUGAAAUGCGUAGAUAUCGGAAGGAACAUCAGUGGCGAAGGCGGCUUCCUGGACCAACACUGACGCUGAGGUGCGAAAGCGUGGGUAGCAAACAGGAUUAGAUA
rnacentral:rRNA from 1 species